UUCGUUAGUUCGUAUCGUUUUUUUUUUGUCAAAUAGAAUAAGAUAAAGCUCGAUAGAUAAAGAAAAGAAAGUAAUCGAGCAAUGGAGAAACACCACAGAAUGUAAACGCGCGCGUUUGGAUGGUACACUAUCGCUCGCGUGUAAUAAACAACAGAUAACAGCACAUCUGUACGCGACGACGUCCGACGAGCGAGUGGAGCUACGGCCAAUACCCCCACCACCGCUCUUCGUGCCGCGCGACGCGUUCACGGAGCGUCUGUCGGGUAGAAGGGUGAGGAGAGGGGGAGAAAUAGAGAGCCGAACGAAGCCGAGCGCGAUCGAGCUCGGCAGUAGAGCACUGUAGUGGGAGCAAUACAGAAGGGAAAGAGUGUGCGGUAGGGGAGUCGCGCGCCGUUAACGCCGCCUGGUGGGGUUAACGUCAGGGGCGUGAGCGAAGAAGGGGCGUCCCAGCGAAACAGAGAUAGAGAGUGAAAAAGAGAAAGAGAGUUCUCUUAGCUUGCUCUAUACACCACCUCCGGCGGUACGUUCAGCUCCACGCGACUUCACGAGUGAAACAUUUCGCGGGUUUCGCGGGGAGCUUUUCCGCAAGACUCGCUGGUGGGAGGUUGAAGGUGGUGGAGGAGCGAAGGAAGGACAACGGUAUUCCCGUUAAUUGAACGACUCUCUCGCGUGGGGAAGGAGGUACCUGGAAGGGAGACGCGACACUCUCUACUCCGGAUCGAGAAGAGGGAGAAGGAUUACUCGCAGACCUAACCACCAGCUCAACCAGUUACCGCGGUUCAACUUUGCUGUUUUUCUUACCUAGUAGAUGCGACUCUAGAUAAGAGUUUUGACAAGUGCGCCUGCGACCGUCUAUGGGGUGCCGACUAAACGACGAGCCAUGGCUUGAGGAACUCAGGGAGAGGCACGUACGAGUUAGUGUUUUUAUUUCAAGAAAGCAGUGUGAUCAUUUGCAACAUAGCCACACUACGAAUGUUACUAUGGAUAAAUAAAUUAAGAGUUGUAAAAUUCAUAGAAUGGACGAAGAGGAGACCAGAAAGUCGAUAGAUAUGCGAGAAGUGUUAUAAAUUUCCUGCGGAAACCUCUGAUUUUUAGUGGCAAUGAUUUUGCAGGGACAUGACAUCCGCCUACGCUAGGCUACCAUGUAAGGUGCGUUUAUUUUGGCGACCUUUACGACGCGAGUUUACGAUCGCCUGAACGCUUUCGUGAACUUCGUAAUGAUUUUCGGAAGUUUGCGGAAAAAACAUCGAGGAGAAAAAAGUUUUUGGAUCGUUCGACUCUAUCAAGGAGGUUUCACGGGAGAAACAAUAAAAUUCACUGAAUUAUUAGCCGUUAUCGUGGACGGGAGUAGACAGCAGAAGUAAGAAACAGAUUCUUCUGAAAAAUGAAAUAGUAUAAAAAACGAAACAACAACAUUCAACUAACGUUGAGGAACGAUCGAAUAGCCAAAGGGAACUAGAGAAAGAGAGAGAAAAGGGACGCGAAAAAGAACGAUGUGUAUCGUAGCUCACGGAAAAAGGAAUGGAAAGUUAAGAAAAGGCAAAGGUUCAACAGGGGUAAGUCCAACAAGAAUAUUGAAAGCCGGUCCUUCGAACGAGGCCAGCGAUCAAGAGAGCCAAUUAUUUCGAAGACCCACCACCACUACUCGUACCCACCCGCUUUCUUUCUCCUUUCUUCUUCACCCCCGCAUACGCGUACUCACGUCGAACAUAUUUUUCCUACGUACCUUACGCGAAUACUCGAAGCGCACUCAAGCCACCAAAGUACUCACAUACGAAUAGUAUAUUCGAACGCGCGUUCGUUCGUUCCGUUUCGUUUCGUUUCGUUUCGUUCGUUUAUUCGAAGAGUACCGUAUACAUAAUACUCUUCGUACGUAGAUAGGUACGUACAUAGAGGUACAUUAUGCGAAUCGAGCUUCAUACAUCGUUUCCGUUCUAAUAAAGCUAAGGGUACCUUCUCGCGACCACCCUCAUUUCUCAAUCUCUUUUUCUCUUUUUUCUUUGCUGCUGCAAACAUUUACUUUGUCAACAUUCGACUAAAAAUAUCAUUAACUUUUUGCACUUCAAACGUAUUUACUUGUUCAAUUAGAAAAUAUUUUUUAUUCAUUGACGAACAAAUCAAAUAUUUUCUAUUUUUUAAUUAUUUAUUUUCCAUUAGGGAUACAAUUUUACAACGUCGAUAUCAAAUCGACGAUUAAUGGAAAAUAUCCGUAUACGCUUAUCUUUACUGUGCUUUGGUAGAUUUAAAAAACGAAGGACAUUGUGGCAUACUCUAAGUUAGAUUAUAUGAACCUACGGAGCAAUCUUAUGCAAUGGAGCUACUGAAAUCUUAAUUCAAGCAGGCGCGCUGUGCCAUUGAAUACGUUGACGGGGGUAGCGCCUUUCAAAAGCGUCGCUUACAAGCACGUUACACACACGGUUAGAUUCAUUUUUGAAAAUUCAGUAUCUCGAAAAAUUUAUAUGUAACCAAUACCGAAUAAACAACUGCACAUUUUAAUAUGCAUUCAAAUGAGUUUUAUGACUGCAAAAAAAUUGCAAUAAAAAGUUUUAGCAAUAUCGAUGCGUAAAUUCUUUUUUUUUUUUUUUUUUUUUUGAAAAUAUAUGAGGAGAAAUUAUACCAUGAAGUUGGGAUUAUAAUGAUGACAAAAGCACAUUGUUGAUUAAUAAGGAAACAUUGAAAAAGGAUAGAUAAGUAUGCGUUAAUGAUAACUUUGGAAGAAGAAAAAAGAGAAAGAACAUUUCUGAUCAUUUGAAUGACAUAGAGAAUUGUAGUUAUAGUAAUAAAUUUUUCGUAGAAGGAAAGAAAAGAUUCAUAUUACGCAAGAUAAAAUUUGAAGAUCCACUUGAACAUGAUGAUCAAGUAGAACUUUGUAGAAUCGCACACGAUCAUUUUGGCGUGUGAGAAAGGGCAAGAGAGUGUGGGAAGGUUAAACGGGAACGAGUUAGAGAAAGGAUACGAUUCUGCUUGUCUCUGGGACGGAAGUGACGUCGCAGUCACCGGCGGAAAUUCGUACUGGAAAUUCCGAUGGGUUCGAGAGGUUGUGGGAGAAAGGUAAAGGGAGGGCAACAAUCAGGGUAGACCCGGUAUUACGCUCCAUUCAUCCCCUACUGACACCCCUUACCACCCUCGAACCGUAUUUGGCUGACAAUUCUUCAUUUGCGUGCAGCAAACUCUCUACUGUGUGUGCCACGACCGUAGCGAAAGGUUUAAACCGCUGGUUGGUUCACAUUCGAAAGAGGCUACUGAUCCGUCUCUAUCACGUGAUUUUACUUUUAUUCCUUAUAAUCGUGAAAGUAACCUUUGUUCUUGGUUUAAACUUCGAAGAUGAUUAUUUAUUUACUUAUCUUAACUAUUCUUGACAAUUUAAUCUGUUAAGUCUAAUUACUUUAUGAAUCUCUUUUCGAUAAUUUAUAAUGACAAAUAAUCAACAUUUUGAAUAAUUUUUAAUUUAAUUGAAACCAUAGAUUUGUAUAUCAACAUUACGCAAAUGAUCAAAUUUGAUCUGUCGAAUGAUCAUCAUUUCAAGCUACGAGAAUGGAAGUUUCCUUGUUAGACCAAACAGUUACCUAGUACGAGAUGUGGAUAGACUAAGCACUAUUCUUUCUCGAGCACUAUUCUUUCUAUUUCUUUCCCUACAAUCUUUUUGAUGGUUUGAACAAGAUGACAAUUGAACUUGUCGAAGACAUCGCUGGGAUAAGGUCAAACGGGCAUUUCGUAUCGCAUUGUACAACGUAUGCAUCUACAUUGUCAAAAUGAUUGUACUUGACAAAAUGAUUAUUUUUAAUAAAUUUGAAAAGGGCAAAAAGGGCAUUAUCGUACUAUUCAUAUUUUUACAGAUUAUAUGAAUGAUUUGGUAAAUCAACAAUUUAGUAAUAUCUACAUCAUGUUUUAUCCAAAGGAAUUUGAAGAAAUCAUAGAAAUCAGGAUAAUAAGGAGAGAUAGAGAAAAAGAGAGAAAGAAAGAGAAUCGUUUGUACAAGCAUUUCUUCGACUGUUAGGUGGUCCAAUUUGAGAAGGUGCUAUACCAUGAGAAAAAAAGGAAGCAGAAAGAGUAAGAGAAGUGCCGUACGUGAGGGCCAACGGUAAGAGGGGAAAAAGGCAAGAGGAGGAAUGUCAAAUUGAUCCAUAUUAAUAAGAACGGAGAUUCGCGUUGCCGGACUUUUGCAUAAAUUUGAAUCGGCCCUCAUACAGCUCGCGGCAAGGGUUGCGAAUUUGAAUAAUCGAGAAUAAUUUCGAAGUUUUCUCGUGCAAACGCGAGGUAGCGUGCGCGCGUCCGCGACUACGGACGUGAUCAGCCGACGUUUCGAAAUAUUUCCUAGUGUAACGCUUUUCUCUCUUCUUCCAUCUCCUUCCCCCACUCCAACAUCAUCCACCACACUGCCAUCUCGUUCCGUCCGGUAGAUGUAGGUAAUUAACCGCAUGCACCAGCCAGAAUUGGAAAAAUACAGAACGCUUUAGAAAUCAGGCUGCGUUUUCGCUGUUUGUGGUUUUAAUAAAUUUUACGGACACCAGCAUGUUUUUUCUCCCUUUCUUCCCUUUCUUUCUUUCCUUUCUUUCUUCCUUUCUUUUUUUUUUUUUCCUCACCUGGAAAAAAGAAAUGUAGAGUAACUUUUACCAUACGCUGUUACGAAUCAAAAGUUUUUGACUCUACGAAAGGAGAUUAUUAACAUAUGAGGUUAGGAUGGACGAGAGGCGGCGUACCGCAUGAUUCGUUUAAAAUAUGCUCGCCGUAGGCGACUCGAACAUCUAGGGAAUUCGUACUGUUCAAAUACAAUUGGAUUUUGAUUUAGAGGAAUAUUGAAGAGUGUCUAUGAGAAAUUUGAUUUCUGGAUUGCAUAGAUUAUUACAAUUGAAUUGAAUGUACAUAGAUAUUCGAAUUAACAUAUAUGAAAAGUAUUAGAUAGUUAUUUUAAAUUACAGUAAAAUAGAAAAAAAAAAAAAAAAGAAGAAAAGAAAAAAAAUGUAAUAAUAUUCCCUGUUGCUCUGAACAUGUAUUCUUUUGGCUUGUCAUUUUGGAUUAAAAAUUGAUUACUUCAAUUGGAAUCGCAUCGCGCUUUGACGCGUGUCGGACCGAGGAGAGAUAUGCUCGUUUCGUUCCAUCUCUUGGCAGAUUAAAGGCAAUCUUAUCACAUAGAAUGACGAGGUCUUGUGAUCGAUCACAAAAAGUAUGCAACGGAACUAUCGCGUCUCUAAGAGAAUAGACAAAGACGGACAUGUUCGAGGAACGGACCACCCGUUGAGAAUGAGGAAUGUGGAACUGUACCAGCAGGGACGGAGAUCAGUCUCUUUCUCUCUCUUUCUCUCUCUCUCUCUCCCUCUCUCUCUCUCUCUCUAUACUUUUGCUCUUCUACACAUUUCGAAUCAAAUUUAUUUCGACCAUGUCCUAUCUAUGAUACCUGUCCCUCAAAAUGACUCGGUAGUUUUACGAUUAAUCUUUUUUUAAUAUUUUACACUUUGAAAGUAUUUUCUUUAUUAUUUAAAGAGAACGAAUAGCACGGAUAAAGUCUGUACGGAUAAUACAUAAAUAAAUAACACGAUAUGU